CCUUAGAGUUUGAUCAUGGCUCAGAUUGAACGCUGGCGGCAUGCCUUACACAUGCAAGUCGAACGGCAGCACGGGGGCAACCCUGGUGGCGAGUGGCGAACGGGUGAGUAAUACAUCGGAACGUGUCCAGUUGUGGGGGAUAACCAGUCGAAAGACUGGCUAAUACCGCAUGAGCCCGAAAGGGGAAAGCGGGGGACCGCAAGGCCUCGCGCGACUGGAGCGGCCGAUGUCCGAUUAGCUAGUUGGUGAGGUAACGGCUCACCAAGGCGACGAUCGGUAGCUGGUCUGAGAGGACGACCAGCCACACUGGGACUGAGACACGGCCCAGACUCCUACGGGAGGCAGCAGUGGGGAAUUUUGGACAAUGGGCGCAAGCCUGAUCCAGCCAUGCCGCGUGUGUGAUGAAGGCCUUCGGGUUGUAAAGCACUUUCGGACGGAACGAAAUCGCGUGGGCGAAUAUCCCGCGUGGAUGACGGUACCGUAAGAAGAAGCACCGGCUAACUACGUGCCAGCAGCCGCGGUAAUACGUAGGGUGCGAGCGUUAAUCGGAAUUACUGGGCGUAAAGGGUGCGCAGGCGGCUCCGCAAGUCAGACGUGAAAUCCCCGGGCUCAACUUGGGAAUGGCGUUUGAAACUAUGGGGCUAGAGUGUGGCAGAGGGAGGUGGAAUUCCACGUGUAGCGGUGAAAUGCGUAGAUAUGUGGAGGAACACCGAUGGCGAAGGCAGCCUCCUGGGCUAACACUGACGCUCAUGCACGAAAGCGUGGGGAACAAACAGGAUUAGAUACCCUGGUAGUCCACGCCCUAAACUAUGUCUACUAGUUGUUGGGGGAGUUAAAUCCCUUAGUAACGC
rnacentral:rRNA from 1 species